UACGUAGGGGGCAAGCGUUGUCCGGAAUCAUUGGGCGUAAAGAGCGUGUAGGCGGCCCGGUAAGUCCGCUGUAAAAGUCAAAGGCUCAACCUUUGAAUGUCAGUGGAUACUGCCGGGCUAGAGUCCGGAAGAGGCGAGUGGAACUCCGGGUGUAGCGGUGAAAUGCGUAGAUAUCCGGAGGAACACCGGUGGCGAAGGCGGCUUCCUGGACCGACACUGACGCUGAGGCGCGAAAGCUAGGGGAGCAAACGGG
rnacentral:rRNA from 1 species